UGAUGACGAGCAAUCCUGCAAAGCACAGUUCAUCAUUCGUACUAUGUAGUCAAACUGCUGAUGGUCCAGUAUCGCUCGAUUUUGUUUAACAUGCAGGCCUAAUUCCUGUGUCAGGCAGUGUCGGGCUGCCUUUCCUUUUAGGGCUCUCAGAGCUGCAGGCAAGGUCUUUUCAGUCUCCAAAAAUUUAUUUUCAAAAAUGAAUGAGAUGCAGUUUCUAAC
rnacentral:lncRNA from 1 species